rnacentral:rRNA from 1 species
AUCAGACCGCUGCGGUGUGCUUCAUACAUGCAGUCGAACGAGAAAUCCCGGGCUUGCUCGGGAUAGUAAAGUGGCAAACGGGUGAGUAACACGUGGGUAACCUGCUCUCAAAUUGGGGAUAACUCUGCCAACGCGGGGCUAAUACCGAAUGUCAUCCUGAUGUCGCAUGGUGUUGGGAUGAAAGCUAUUCAAUUAUGAAUGGCGUUUGAGAAGGGGUCCGCGGCCUAUUAGCUAGUUGGUGAGGUAAUGGCCCACCAAGGCGACGAUAGGUAGCCGGCCUGAGAGGGUGAACGGCCACACUGGGACUGAGAUACGGCCCAGACUCCUACGGGAGGCAGCAGUAGGGAAUAUUGCGCAAUGCCCGCAAGGGUGACGCAGCAACGCCGCGUGGGUGAUGAAAUUCUUCGGAAUGUAAAACCCUGUCAGGGGGAAAGAAACUCUCGAUUUCUAUCGAGAUUGACGGUACCUCCAGAGGAAGCUCCGGCCAACUCCGUGCCAGCAGCCGCGGUAACACGGGGGGAGCAAGCGUUGUUCGGAAUCACUGGGCGUAAAGGGCGUGUAGGCGGAUGGAUAAGUCAGAUGUGAAAACCCAGAGCUCAACUCUGGGCCUGCAUUUGAUACUGUUCGUCUUGAGUAUGGGAGAGGAGAUCGGAAUUCCUGGUGUAGCGGUGAAAUGCGUAGAUAUCAGGAAGAACACCGGUGGCGAAGGCGGAUCUCUGGCCUAAUACUGACGCUGAGGCGCGAAAGCUGGGGGAGCAAACAGGAUUAGAUACCCUGGUAGUCCCAGCCGUAAACGAUGGGCACUAGGUGUUGGAGGUAUUGAUUCCUUCAGUGCCGUAGCUAACGCAUUAAGUGAACCGCCUGGGAAGUACGGUCGCAAGACUA